GCAUCAAUGGUCUAGUGGUAGAACAGUAUUCUGCUACAGUACAGAACCCGGUUCGAUUCCUAGAUGGUGUA
rnacentral:tRNA from 1 species